rnacentral:rRNA from 1 species
AGAGUUUGAUCAUGGCUCAGAACGAACGCUGGCGGCAGGCUUAACACAUGCAAGUCGAACGGUCUCUUCGGAGGCAGUGGCAGACGGGUGAGUAACGCGUGGGAAUCUACCUAGUUCUACGGAACAACAGAGGGAAACUUCUGCUAAUACCGUAUACGCCCUACGGGGGAAAGAUUUAUCGGAAUUAGAUGAGCCCGCGUAAGAUUAGCUAGUUGGUGGGGUAAUGGCCUACCAAGGCGACGAUCUUUAGCUGGUCUGAGAGGGAUGAUCAGCCCACACUGGGACUGAGACACGGCCCCAGACUCCUACGGGAGGCAGCAGUGGGGAAUAUUGGACAAUGGGCGCAAGCCUGAUCCAGCCAUGCCGCGUGAGUGAUGAAGGCCUUAGGGUUGUAAAGCUCUUUCAGUGGGGAAGAUAAUGACGGUACCCACAGAAGAAGCCCCGGCUAACUUCGUGCCAGCAGCCGCGGUAAUACGAAGGGGGCUAGCGUUGUUCGGAUUUACUGGGCGUAAAGCGCACGUAGGCGGAUCGUUAAGUCAGGGGUGAAAUCCUGGAGCUCAACUCCAGAACUGCCUUUGAUACUGGCGAUCUCGAGUCCGGAAGAGGUGAGUGGAACUCCUAGUGUAGAGGUGGAAUUCGUAGAUAUUAGGAAGAACACCAGUGGCGAAGGCGGCUCACUGGUCCGGUACUGACGCUGAGGUGCGAAAGCGUGGGGAGCAAACAGGAUUAGAUACCCUAGUAGUCC